UUCGAGCCCUGGAUAGUUCACCCUCGACCUUAUUCAAAUCAAAUCCAUACUCACUUACUGUUUGCCUAAGGUUAUCUAUAAGCUUUCCAUCUUUUACACUUCUGGCUAGGUUUUCGGAUGCUAUUUUCAUUUCCCGAAUCUGGGCACAAAGGGCCUCAUUUUCUUUGGCUAACUUUUUCUUUUCACCCUCAUCCGCGGCGGCUUGCAAACCAUUCUCAAAUUGAAGAUCCUUGACCUGCUUUUUCAGCUUUUUUAUGGUAGCCUAUGCUCAUUUUCUUUGGCUAACCAAUCCCACUGCACAUGCGCUCCAUCAAUGAAUUGUUGGACAUGGGGCUUUUUCGCGGGCCGUUCAGGUUCUUG
rnacentral:lncRNA from 1 species